rnacentral:rRNA from 1 species
UGGCGAACGGGUGAGUAACACGUGGGCAACCUGCCCAAAAGAGGGGGAUAACACUUGGAAACAGGUGCUAAUACCGCAUAACCAUAGUUACCGCAUGGUAACUAUGUAAAAGGUGGCUAUGCUACCGCUUUUGGAUGGGCCCGCGGCGCAUUAGCUAGUUGGUGGGGUAAAGGCUUACCAGGCAAUGAUGCGUAGCCGAACUGAGAGGUUGAUCGGCCACAUUGGGACUGAGACACGGCCCAAACUCCUACGGAAGGCAGCAG